rnacentral:rRNA from 1 species
ACCAUGGUUGUAACGGGUAACGGGGGAUCAGGGUUCGAUUCCGGAGAGGGAGCAUGAGAAAUGGCUACCACAUCUACGGAAGGCAGCAGGCGCGCAAAUUACCCACUCCUAGAUCGGGGAGGUAGUGACGAAAAAUAACAAUACCGGACUCUAUGAGGCUCGGUAAUUGAAAUGAGUACAGUUUAAAAGCCUUAACGAGGAUCUAUUGGAGGGCAAGUCUGUUGCCAGCAGCCGCGGUAAUUCCAGCUCCAAUAGCGUAUAUUAAAGUUGUUGCAGUUAAAAAGCUCGUAGUUGGAUCUCGGGUACUAGCAUUCGGUACGCUUAAUUGCUGUUACUAUUUGUCUAGUCCUAAUCAAUCGGUUGGCCAUUUAUGCCCUUUAUUGGGUGUUUUUGGUAGCCGAUACGUUUACUUUGAGAAAAUUAGAGUGCUUAAAGCAGGCUUUACGCCUGAAUAAUGUUGCAUGGAAUAAUAGAAUAGGACCUCGGUUCUAUUUUGUUGGUUUUGUAGAGCAUUGAGGUAAUGAUUAAUAGGGACAGACGGGGGCAUUCGUACUGCGGUGUUAGAGGUGAAAUUCUUGGAUCGCCGCAGGACGAACAACUGCGAAAGCAUUUGCCCAGAAUGUUUUCAUUAAUCAAGAACGAAAGUUGGAGGUUCGAAGACGAUUAGAUACCGUCCUAGUUCCAACCAUAAACGAUGCCAACUAGCGAUUAGCUGCUGUUAAUUAAACGACACAGCUAGCAGCUUCCGGGAAACCAAAGUUUUUGGGUUCCGGGGGAAGUAUGGUUGCAAAGCUGAAACUUGAAGGAAUUGACGGAAGGGCACCACCAGGAGUGGAGCCUGCGGCUUAAUUUGACCCAACACGGGAAAUCUCACCCGGCCCGGACACUGUAAGGAUUGACAGAUUGAGAGCUCUUUCUUGAUUCGGUGGGUGGUGGUGCAUGGCCGUUCUUAGUUGGUGGGGCGAUUUGUCUGGUUAAUUCCGAUAACGAACGAGACUCUAGCCUGCUAAAUAGUACGCCGAUCUUUAGUCGGCGCGUACUUCUUAGAGGGACAAGUAGCGGUUAGCUACACGAAAUUGAGCAAUAACAGGUCUGUGAUGCCCUUAGAUGUUCGGGGCCGCACGCGCGCUACACUGAAGGGAUAAGCGUGUUCUUCCUGCUCCGAAAGGAGUGGGUAACCCGCUGAAACCCCUUCGUGAUUGGGAUCGGGGCUUGCAAUUAUUCUCCGUGAACGAGGAAUUCCCAGUAAGCGCGAGUCAUAAGCUCGCGUUGAUUACGUCCCUGCCCUUUGUACACACCGCCCGUCGCUACUACCGAUUGAAUGGUUUAGUGAGAUCCUCGGAUUUGUCCGGAAGUGGCCGCAAGGUUGCCUCUAGGUUCGGAGAAGACGAUCAAACUUGAUCAUUUAGAGGAAGUAAAAGUCGUAACAAGGUU